UCGGGUUCUUCUGCUUCACUUGAAGAACUUGACUGAGACGAAACUGUUGGUGAUGAGGAAGAUGUUGAAGGUGAUGAGUGAGGUGGUGUAGACGAAGGUGAUCAAUGAGGUGGCAAAGGUGGUGGUAGGACGACCUCUAGGUUGACGAUGGGAAGACCUUCGAGUUGAUGGUGACGAGAAAACAGAACUCGAGGAGGUGUCAGAUUGUUCAGCAAAUUCCGAAGCUGGCAUUCACUAAUUCGACUAGAUUGUCUCAUAUACCAAACCUAAAUCCUGCACAUCCAAAAACAACAAACCAAAGUGACACACAAACAAAACAACAAAGAGAAAGGGAAAACAAAAACUAGAACCGAGUUAAAUGUCUAAAUCGGCGCCGACUAAGCCCUUUCAAAGGAAUGAGUGAGAGUCCCCGGCAACGGCGGCAAAAACUUCAUCGCCAAAAUAACUACGAAAUUAUCUCGACAACACAAGUGUCGUAUGUGUCAAAGGAUUCCUCUCGUUAUGUUUUUACUCGAACUUAUCAACAAGGUCUAGACUGAACAAAUUGAGAAGGGCUUCUAAUGAUUCUAUUGAUUCAAUUAAAACUAAAAGUUAUGGUUUUAUCAAAAGGAGAAAACAAGUUAUGGGAAGGGAUGAUUCAUCAAGCUCAAUUUCUAAUAGUAAUCGGAUCGAGCAAACAUUGGACUUGGAUUGAAUAAUACGAUUCCUCUUAUCACUCGUAUGAAUCUGUGGCACGAUCAUGCACGCGGAUUACCACUACUAGCUUCCCAAUCAAGGUUUGAAUAACCUCCAUUAGGCUAACCAGUAAUGAACACCGAGAAGUUCUACAAAGUGAUAAGGUGCUCUUAAGAAUUAAAAGAAAUCACAAGUAAUUGGAAUUACUGUUAACUUGUGUAACACCCAUACUACUAACAUGUUCGUUUUAAAUAAAACAGCGAAGCAAUAAUAGGGUGCUACGCUACUUAUACCGUAUAUAUCAUUUAAUCUUUACACCCAUCCGAUUAAUUUCUUCAUCAUAAUCCAGGAUUGUGCUUAUAUGUACUCAAAUAAUUAAUUCGUCAAUACAAAAACUGCUCAAGAUGUCAUAUAUGACUUAUUGACUUUUCACAAUAUAGUACACUAUACCAGAAGUCCAGCAGGACACAUAUACAUAUAGAACAGAAGUCUCGAGCUUCACAGGCUCGGACCAGAGUAACCAUAUACUUGCCCUCUCGGCCACUAUAUUUUACAAAACCAUAUCUCAAAUUGUACAAGUACACAACCACUCAUAACAUAUGCACAUUAUGGAAGUAAGAGUCUCAAACAAACUUUAAAUACAAAACGAGGAUCAAGACACAAUCUUCGAUAUCUACCUGGCGUCGUCACCAUGAUGACCGACCCCGGAGCUCGAUGAUACCAUGUUGCAGUGUGUGACCCAGUAAAACCUACUGUCGCUCUGAAAUGGAAAGUAAGGGUCAGUGCUAAUCAAUGAGUGAGGAUCUACGUCCUAGUCACUCUAUGGUACAAAUAUUCAUAUAAGAGGUAUACAACAUAUAACGCAUAAGGCUAAUUCUAUAAUCUAAUUUAUAUUAUACGGGCCCUAACUAGGUGAUCAAUCAAUUACCAGAUUUAUUCCAUAAUCAGUAAUAGCUACUGCUCAUAUUAACACAUUAUUAAAUCAGAUAUAUCAGCAAAGUAACAGAACGUGUAUCAUGUUAAGUAAUAAAUAUGAUAAAGAAUCAUAUAAAAUCUUAAAAUUAAAUGGACAUUACCCUAUCAUGCAUAUAGCCUUAAUAAUAAUAAAAUCAUAAUGGAACGUCUAACCCGGUCGGAUACGCAGGAGACCCUCACCAGAAAUAACCCUUGAGAAAACCGGUAAUAACUUCCGAGUUGAGAUCGUACGUAAUUCAAAGGACUUGAAUUAUGAACCAAGUAUAAGGCACUGGCUUCUUCUAUAUUUUCUCUGUUUAAGUUUC
rnacentral:lncRNA from 1 species